AUUAAUUGCUAACAUGUUAUACAGAAAACGCACUGCGGAACAUUGUUAAGAAAUCUAUUGAUUUUUGUAUGACACCGUUGUUAUUUACUCCGGAGCUUGAUACAGUUUCUGUAGUCUGUCUCCUCGCCGAUUCUCAGUCACCGAUCACUGCCAAACACGCUAUUGCUACCAUCACUAUAAUGUAAUUGUUCAGGAAGUGACAACCGUAUUUGUGUACAAUAAGCUCCCCAGCAACAGCAGAAGAACAUGGCUUCACCGUCGUUUGAAUACUUUCGAUCCUCUUUCGACAAUGUGUUUCAGAUACUUCCACAGGGUCACGAAAAAGCACUGAAGAAGGCCCUGUACAACACAGCGGCCAACUUCUUCGUUAUAUUCGCUAGUUUGGUAUUAGUGGCUGUCUAUUUUGUCCUACAGGCCUUUCUCAGACCCUUACUAUGGGCUGUAUUAUGUGGAACCUUCUUAUAUCCAUUCAAACGAACAUUGACCAGUGUCUUGAGGAGUUGGCUUCAGGGAUUACAUGAGUCCGGUACCCCUUUUGCUGCCGGAGUGGUCCUUAUUCCGAUCAAAUCUGUCAAUGACAUCUCUGAAAUUAUCAGCAAUACUUUAAUAAAACAUUUCAAGCUAAUUAUAGUUGGAGCUGUUGGAUUACCCUGCCUGAAUUUGUUGUACUAUUUUGGACCGAUCGAUUCUAUCUUUUCAUGGAUUUACAAUUUUUUUUCCUUUCUGUACAAUGUCAUCCAGUGUUUUAGUUCUGGUUGGAUAUGGACUGUCGUACUGGGCUAUGUCAUAAUGAUAGCAUUGUACUGGAAACCAGAAAACAACAAACAGCUACAAUAUUUAUCCAUUCCUGUAUGGGUAUUGUUUGUGCUUCAUCUCUGUUCUUCUGCUGGCUCACUCAGUGCACCAAUCUUCAUUCUGGCAGUGGCUAUGCUGGCUAUUGGCUAUGUGUCAGAGGUGAAUCAAGCAAAAGCAGAAAAGGGUGAAGUCUCAGCAGACAAAGAACCUUCUGACAGCCCUAUGUAUGCAGCUUUUGCUAUGCUAACAACUCCAAAGAGUACACCAACAUUACAACGACGUACACCAAUAGAAGAACUACCUACAGAGGGAACAGAAGGAACUUCAACCGAAGCCAGUGGCAGCGGUGAUGCAAAAGCAAGCAAAGUCAAAUCUCUUUCUGUUGGAACUCAUCCUCCUCACCAAGAAAAGAAGAAGGUCAAGACUAAUCAGCAUCGUUCUUUAAGCGACCAAUGUUUUAUUGCUCUGUUUUGGGCAUUUGUCCUUGUACGACUUUGGAUGCAUGCAUGGAUUCUUCUACUUAUACCUAUUCCGGUGCUGUUUCUGAUUUUCAAAAAACUCUUGAAACGAUUCAACUGCAAAUUUGGGUGUAUUAGGGAUUGUUGUAAUAAUUGGUUCCAAGCCAGAAGAGAUGUGUUGUUUCCUGCUCCAGUCAGAGGUGUAAUGAAAUUAUUAUCAAAUGCUGACAGAAAAUUGAUCUCCAUUCUUGAACAAUCCUUGGAUAGUGCCACCAGUGUUUUGUUCAUUUUUAUCCUACUAUUCGGAACAGCCUUGUUUACUGUAUUCUUUGUAUUUCAAGUACACCAAGAAAGUAUGCACCUUGUACAAGUUACAAGCAAUGUUUUGAAUAAAUCUGUCAACCCUGAGAUUAGCCAAUGGCUUCCCAAUGGCAAUGCUAUGCAAAAAGCCAUGGAUAGUAUGGUAGCAAAUGCUUAUUUCUAUGGAAGAGACUGGAUUGCCUCAAAGAUCCGAGACGCUGUUCAAGGUAGAGGGGGUAACAAUACUCAUAUAGAGAAAGAAGUCCUUGAAGUGUGGGACAGACUUUACAAGAGCUGGUUUGAUCGGAAUAACACAAAUCUUGUUGAUAAGCCUGAGAUAUUGGCUGGAGGGAACUUAACUGCCUUAUGGAGCCUGGCAUCCAAACGAAGUGGCUUUGUCAUCACAGAUGUUAUAAACUUUGCUAAAUCUAAUAUUGGAACCUUGAUGUCGAAAAGUUCCAGUGACAAAUUAGAGGCUGCUCGAUUAAACCAGGUGCUGGAAUCAGUUUGGCUGGUGUUGAAAGGCAACGUCAAUUUAGCCUUUUCUUUCGUCACUGCAGUUUUAUCAUUACUGUUUGGUGGAGGCACUGCCCUAUUGAAUUUCAUCAUCUCAGCUGCCAUAUUUUUAACAACACUCUUUUACUUACUGGCAUCGAGUGGCGACCAAUAUAAACCAGUUCAGUGGUUCACUGCAUUUGGUUCACCCAUACAAGGUGGCAACAACAUUGGCCAAGCAGUUGAAGAUGCUGUUGGUGGUGUCUUCAUGGCUUCCUUGAAAAUGGCGGCCUUUUAUGGAUUGUACACUUGGUUAACACACACUAUCUUCAGUGUAAACAUUGUAUUUAUUCCAUCCGCUUUAGCUGCUGUGUUUGGCGCUAUACCAUUCCUUGGCACAUACUGGGCUGCUGUACCAGCUGUGUUGGAGCUGUGGCUUGUAAAUAGAGAAGGAUUACAAGCCAUUUUGCUGAUUGUUGCUCAUCUUCUGCCUUCGUCUGUUGUUGAUACAGCAAUUUACAGUGAGAUUAAAGGUGGUCACCCAUACAUGACUGGUCUCUCUAUUGCUGGAGGAAUCUACUGCCUGGGCUUGGAGGGAGCUCUUAUUGGUCCAAUCGUACUUUGCUUCCUUGUUGCUGCAAUAAGCAUUUAUGGUAAACUACUCCAAGGAGGUUCAUCUCAACCAGAAGCUGGGACCACACGACCUCCAGGUUUGUCUGCAGUGACUGUUAAACGACCAGACCAAUUGCACGAUGGUGACAAGCGCACAACCUGGAGCAUUACACGGCACUCUCUCUGAUAGCUGUGGUUUGUCCAGAAUUGCUUCUUCCUCUAUAGGAAAUUCGCCUAUUAGUCCUGUAACGGGCAUUUUAGUGCCUUGGCCUCCUGAACUGCAACUACGUCGAUCUUUCAGUACAGACCCAGUGAUGGCCUACAAAUCUAACUGAAUUCCUACACUGCUGCUUUAUCUCUUUCUAACUGAAGCUUGUUAGAAACAAUAGACAUAUCUUCUUUGCUUACUCUUUUUUUCUACCUACAUGUUUUGCUUGCUUGUGAACUGAAGUAAUAAGGUUUUUUAAAAUGCCAUUGUUUGAUCAAUUUUGAAGCAGAUACGAAAACAGGAGAACAUCAAAAUAUUUUUCUUGAUCUUCUUUACCUAUGUACUGAAGAAGGAAAAAAUAAGUUUCCCCUUAGCUGGAAGUCUUCUAUUCACAUUACAGUUAGGUAAAGCAAAGAAAACAAUUGUAUUUGUCUGACCAAAAGAAUACGAUAUCAAAGCUUAACGUUUCUUCAAUGAAAUUUCUUUCUUGCUUUAUUUAUGAAUAUUUUGCUGUUUUACAAAAUUUUCCAUUACUUGUGCACACAUACCUACAAAUCUCUCUCUCUCCUUCUCUCUCUCUCUCUCUCUCUUUAUCACUUUCUCUUCCUCCCUAUAUGUAAACACACACACAAAUACACUUAAAAAUGUUUGGUAAAGAAACAGAGAAUCAAUAUUUUGUUGGUUUCAGACACACAACAAACAACAAAAUACAGUAAGUAUGAAAAUUUAAGAAAAAAAAGGAAAUAUAUUAUAAUGGCAAGCCAAGUACCUAGAAAAGUUGCCAAGAGAAUUUUUGGCAGGUAAAAUUUCGUUAUUCUGUCAAAAUUGGUUAAUUCAUAUAUUUAUUUCUAAAUUUUGAUUAAAAGGCUUGUCAAAUCUGCUUGCUGCUUAUUUGAAACAUUUCUCACAAGAAAAUUGAUACCUGAAUGAUUUAAGUUUAUUUUUAAUAAAUUUUAAAAUUUCUGUGAUUAUUCUCUUUUCUCUCUCUCUCUCUCUCUCUUUCUCAUCUAUCUGCCUAUCUGUCUGUUACAAAUACACUCAUGUCCACUCAGACACACACAGCUAAAUCAUUAGAUUAUUUUUUAAGUUUGAAAAAAUUAACUGAAAUUUAAUAUGAUCCAUACAUCUAUUUUGAUGACAUAAUGCACCCCCACCCAGUAUCAUUUCACAAACAUUUAAUGUAUUAUCUGUUUUUUAAAUAUUCUUUCAAAAUAUUUCUUGUGGAAUCUCAAGACAAUUUAAACUAUGCAGAAAACAAAGAUAGCUCACUACUAACAUUUUCUUCUGAGCAGGGAACAAUUUUAUCAAAACUUAGCUGAGAACAUUGUUUGUUCUGUUAUCCAAAACUAAUCCUAGAUGUACUAUCAUUUGCUAAAUAUAAAAGUUAAAACCAAAUAAGGUCAAUCAUACAAGGUUUAUUACAGAAGUUCAGAGUAACCAAAUUAAGUUGUAUUAUUAAAUCUAAGAGGAUGUGUCAGAAAGUAAUGGAAAUAAAAAUUGCAUUGCUUUCUGACUCACUCCCAUAGAUAUAGCAGAAGUAUAGUGAAACUUAGCUACUCCUAAUGGUGACCAUGUUUCUAGUUAGGUUACUUUCUUCUUAGAAUCACAGCUCUAGUAAUAAGAACUCUAUCUUGAUUAUUUUUUUUAUUACUGGAUUUUAUUAAAAUUAGUUUUAGAAUAAUGCUUUGAUUGACCUUAAAUUCAAAAUUCUGACAUUUAAUACUCUAUUAUUUUUUUAAUAAACUUCAUUUUCAUAUAUUUUUAUUCAUAAAAGUUUAUUCUGUGUAUCAAUGUAUGUCAAUAACAAUAAUAAUUAAAUCUACAACAUCCUUCACUUGUUAAAAAACAGCAUAUGCAAGCAUCCAUGUAUGAUAUUUACAUAUAUGUGUGUGUAUGUACAGACACACACUCACUAAUGAGUAUGUACAAUAAUGUUAUACAUAAUCAUUUUUCUAUAUGUAUUUAUUAUGUGAGUAGAGCCUGGUAAUGCUGGAAGCAACAGUUUUUGCCAUAUCACCAAUGAAUAUCUAGUAGGUACUUGGGUGAGGAUCACUUUGAAAUACCCAGCUGAGUACAAACCAGAUCUCAUAAUCAGUGGCCUGAUGAGAAUUUUGGACCAUCAGGUUGCAAAACUACUAGAAGCAUCUUGUGAGUUUAAUCCAAGGUGAAAUAAAAAUAUUAUAGUAUCAACUAAACCCAUUAUAAAUGUGAAAUUGUUCUUUCAAGCAUAAUCCUUUCAACUCACCUGUACCAUGAGAUGGGGACAUAGAACUAUCAGUCAUCUGUGUCCCUAUCUCAGACCUCCUUUGCUGGUACCAGAUAGAAAGAUAAACCAGAACAUCUGGUACCAGUUCAGCUAGAUGGUUAUCAUAGAAAUUAAAUCUACCUCAAUUGAUCCUUAAUUACUAAGAUAACCAUGAACUGGAGGAAUAACCAAAACUGAUAUAAACAUACGUUUUUGAUCACGAAAAUAAACAUGAUUAGAUAACUUUGUUUUAAAUAA